UGGCAGCUUUGGCUUUAUUAGAAGACAUUUUCAAUGGACAAAUCCGGAGAGAACGAGUUUUUAGGGACCACGGUGAUUUUCUGGCCCACGACGAUGACUGGCUCAUCAGCCGUUUCAGAUUUCCAAGGGCUAUACUCUUGGAGCUCUGCGCUGAGUUGGGUCCGAAUUUGGAAAGAGAGACAGUGAGGAGCCACGCAUUACCCGUUCCUUUACAGGUGCUUACUACACUUGGUUUCCUAGCAACCGGUUCUUUCCAAAGAGAACUGGCAGACCGCUCAGGAAUAAGCCAGUCGUGUUUGAGCCGUGCAAUGCCACCUGUAUGGGACGGCAUCAUCCGCUUGUCUACCAGGUAUAUAACGUUCCCAUACGAUGCAGGUGACCAGCCAAACAUCAAAGCGCAAUUUGCAGCGAUAGCCGGUUUUCCUAAUGUAAUCGGAGCGAUCGACUGCACACAUAUUGCUAUAAAGGCGCCAUCUGAAGACGAAUUUGCAUAUGUGAAUCGGAAACAUUUCCAUUCAAUAAAUGUGCAGAUUAUAUGUGAUGCACAAAUGCGCCUAACAAAUAUUGUGGCAAGGUGGCCAGGGUCAACCCAUGAUUAAUAUAUCCUUACAAACAGCAUGGUUGGGAUGAGACUCCAAGCUGGCAGGGUGCGCGAUGGGUGGCUGGCUACUUGGUAAGUUAUGCAUUUAAAUGUAUGGUUCUAUCUAAAAGUAAAAUGUUUGUGUCUGUAAUUAUUAUUACUGCCCAUCAGGAGACAGUGGUUAUCCACUAAAGACGUGGCUGUUAACCCCCCUCACCAACCCACAAACUGACCGAGAGCGCAGAUACAAUGAUGCCCAUUCCCGCACUCGGUCAGUUGUGGAGCGGGCGAUUGGGCAGCUGAAAUGUCGGUGGCGCUGCCUUGACAGGACCGGGGGGAUGCUGUUAUACCGCCCUGACAAGGUUUGCCGCAUCAUACUGGCCUGUGGAGUGCUGCACAAUGUCGCGCACAGGCAUGGCAUACCCCUUGGUGAGGUGGGGGCACCGCCAGAUGACCCUGACCCAGGACACGUCAACGUGUAAUUGCGACAAUAUAAAUGAACAGCAUGCGUCAAGACACGGCCAGAUGGACGGGCUUCAGCACUGGGGGGAACAUUAGAGACACGGGAGACGCUGGACUGAAUGGGCUCUGGCUGCUCAGGUGGUGCGGACUCUGAGUGCGUGCCAGUGGACGUUCCUGCGGUUCCUAAGUCCAAUUAAACACAGGCACAUCUUAACAGUAAUUUGAGUCUGUUCCUUAUUAAUGGGUACACGCAUUUGCAAUAAAAGCAGUGGAUACGUGAAAUCUCUGGUGUACCUUUUGCUAUAUUGCAUGCAUUUUAAAAUUAAACGGUGGCUGGCUAUGUAUAUCAAAGUUAAGGAAAUAAAUCUGAGUCACCUUG